AUUCCUACGGGAGGCAGCAGUGGGGAAUAUUGGACAAUGGACCAAAAGUCUGAUCCAGCAAUUCUGUGUGCACGAAGAAGGUCUUCGGAUUGUAAAGUGCUUUCAGUUGGGAAGAAGAAAGUGACGGUACCAACAGAAGAAGCGACGGCUAAAUACGUGCCAGCAGCCGCGGUAAUAAU
rnacentral:rRNA from 1 species